UACGAAGGGGGCUAGCGUUGCUCGGAAUGACUGGGCGUAAAGGGCGCGUAGGCGGGUUGUACAGUCAGGCGUGAAAUUCCCGGGCUCAACCUGGGGGCUGCGCUUGAGACGUGCGAUCUUGAGUGGGGAAGAGGGUCGUGGAAUUCCCAGUGUAGAGGUGAAAUUCGUAGAUAUUGGGAAGAACACCGGUGGCGAAGGCGGCGACCUGGUCCUUGACUGACGCUGAGGCGCGAAAGCGUGGGGAGCAAACAGG
rnacentral:rRNA from 1 species